rnacentral:tRNA from 1 species
GCCAUCUUAGCUCAGUUGGCCAGAGCGGCUGAUUCGUAAUCAGCAGGUCGUCGGUUCGAUUCCGAUAGAUGGCU